UACGUAGGGUGCGAGCGUUGUCCGGAAUCAUUGGGCGUAAAGCGCGCGUAGGUGGCUCUAUAAGUCCGUUGUGAAAGUCAAAGGCUCAACCUUUGAAAGCCGAUGGAUACUGUGGAGCUAGAGUACGGAAGAGGCGAGUGGAAUUCCUGGUGUAGCGGUGGAAUGCGCAGAUAUCAGGAGGAACACCAAUAGCGAAGGCAGCUCGCUGGGACGUUACUGACACUGAGGCGCGAAAGCGUGGGGAGCGAACAGG
rnacentral:rRNA from 1 species